rnacentral:rRNA from 1 species
GACGAACGCUGGCGGCGUGCCUAAUACAUGCAAGUAGAACGCUGAAGGAGGAGCUUGCUCUUCUGGAUGAGUUGCGAACGGGUGAGUAACGCGUAGGUAACCUGCCUGGUAGCGGGGGAUAACUAUUGGAAACGAUAGCUAAUACCGCAUAAUAGUAGAUGUUGCAUGACAUUUGCUUAAAAGGUGCAAUUGCAUCACUACCAGAUGGACCUGCGUUGUAUUAGCUAGUUGGUGAGGUAACGGCUCACCAAGGCAACGAUACAUAGCCGACCUGAGAGGGUGAUCGGCCACACUGGGACUGAGACACGGCCCAGACUCCUACGGGAGGCAGCAGUAGGGAAUCUUCGGCAAUGGACGGAAGUCUGACCGAGCAACGCCGCGUGAGUGAAGAAGGUUUUCGGAUCGUAAAGCUCUGUUGUAAGAGAAGAACGAGUGUGAGAGUGGAAAGUUCACACUGUGACGGUUUCUACCCAAAA